rnacentral:rRNA from 1 species
CGGGUGAGUAAUACGUGAGUAACCUGCCCUUGACUCUGGGAUAAGCCUGGGAAACUGGGUCUAAUACUGGAUACUACCUCUUACCGCAUGGUGGGUGGUGGAAAGGGUUUUACUGGUUUUGGAUGGGCUCACGGCCUAUCAGCUUGUUGGUGGGGUAAUGGCUCACCAAGGCGACGACGGGUAGCCGGCCUGAGAGGGUGACCGGCCACACUGGGACUGAGACACGGCCCAGACUCCUACGGGAGGCAGCAGUGGGGAAUAUUGCACAAUGGGCGGAAGCCUGAUGCAGCGACGCCGCGUGAGGGAUGACGGCCUUCGGGUUGUAAACCUCUUUCAGUAGGGAAGAAGCGAGAGUGACGGUACCUGCAGAAGAAGCGCCGGCUAACUACGUGCCAGCAGCCGCGGUAAUACGUAGGGCGCAAGCGUUGUCCGGAAUUAUUGGGCGUAAAGAGCUCGUAGGCGGUUUGUCGCGUCUGCUGUGAAAGCCCGGGGCUCAACCCCGGGUCUGCAGUGGGUACGGGCAGACUAGAGUGCAGU